GAUGAUGAAAGUAAAGAUAUAAGCUGUAUUAACCGACAGAUAGUGAGUUGUAAUGAGAUAGACCUAGAUGAUAAUAAUGUAAUAGAUUAUGUAUUAACUAUUACUGAAAACACAAAAACAAAAUCUACUCAAUCAAAGAUAGAAACAGGGGUAGAGAGACGUGUUAAAAGAAGAAAGGGCAGGCAUGCUAAGAGAAUGACUGAGGAAGAAGCAGAAAGCUAUCGCAAGAUACAAAAACAGAAAGAAAAGGAGAGGCGAAAAGAAAGGAAAAGCAAUUUUCUGAAGGAGGAAAAGGGGAUAUCACGAAGGAGUAAACGCAGUACAAGAAAAAAUGUCAGUUAUAGAUGAUAGAUGUCUCUCACACAGAGAAUACAGAGGUUGGGAAAAUAAAUAAAAGUUAAAAUAAUCUGUAUGGUUUAUUAUUUUUUAAAAAUAAUAUAUCCUCAGUUGUGC